rnacentral:lncRNA from 1 species
AUGCUCUUCUUGACACAGUCACCAGGAAAACCUUUGUUGGCUGUGCCAGCGGGUGACCCUUGGACAUUCGUGGGCCUGAUCCUUUUCACCUGUUCUAGAGUCUUCAGUGACUUGUCUCCUCAAGGCUUCAGAACAUUCAGGAAUGUUCCCUUCUCUGAGCUGGGAGAGCAGAGAAGCCGAAGCAUCAAGAGAUUGGCCCCAGGUCAAACCACUGCUAGCUCCUUCAGGUGGGCAUGGGGCCUCUGCUUUCAAGGCUCAUGGGGUUUGCCUACUACCCCAAAAUAUAAAUGUGGGUUGAAUAACAGAGUGAUUAAUUUCACUUUCAGUGCCUUCCUUCUCGAGCUGGAGUGCUUCUGUAGAGACUCCUAAUUCGGUGAAACCUGUUUAGGGGAUCAUCCCUGCUAGACAGACAGCUGCGAGAGGGCAUUCGCUUCCCAGCAUGGAUUUCAGAUUAUGGCCAAUCAAGAGCCGGAGCUAAGGAACACCUGUCAACGGCGCUUGCUACAAGGAGACCAGCUCUUUAAUCGAAUUUCAUUGUACUUCAGAAAAAGGUUUAUUUUAAAUGUGGCGUCUGCUUUUAUGAUUCAUCCUUCUCAGCUGAGACAUCAAUUUGGGGCUUAUUUAUGAUGUUGUUCUAGGGUGAAACAAGACACUGCAAGAAAGUAUUUCAAAAAGGCAGCCUUUCCCAGACAUUCAGUUUGCAGCUUUCCUCGUGUGGAAAAAUAAAAAAGAAAUUUAAAACGUUAGUUUUGAGCUU